AAAAAAUUCAACCAUUCUUCGGCAGCCCUCACAACUCACAUCACGAACGCACCAUGUUGAAGACAUGUAUUUCAUCACAAGUGAUAAGUUUCUUCCGUUAAAUUGCCUUGUGGUUGUACUUGCCAUGUUUCGGAGAAAACAAUAGCAGGGCCACUCUUUAUCAUUUUUUGUGUUAGUGCAGUAAUUUAUGUGGUUGUCGAGGAAGAUAAAAUUGCUAACAAUGGGCCACCAUUCGGGGUGGACAACAGAUGGGGAAGUGUGAUCAUGGUUCAGGUUGCAAUUUUGGACAAGAAAAGGGUGUUGCAGAGGAAGCUUAACAGAAUUGCUGGGACUGCGGAUACAGAGACCAAAAGCAGUUUGAAUUGUGUAUUGAAAG